AUGGCAUGCAUGUUCAGGAACAGAUACAUUUAGAGGUUCUUGGCUCUAUCAAAAUUGCAGAGAAUUGCUAUUGCCCGAGCUCUCCUAAAGAAUGCUCCUAUUCUCAUACUCGAUGAGGCCACGAGUGCCUUGGAUACUGUAAGUGAGCGCUUGGUACAGGAUGCUCUCAACCAUUUGAUGAAGGGGAGGACAACAUUAGUGAUAGCUCAUCGAUUAAGCACAGUUCAAAAUGCCUAUCAAAUUGCACUUUAUUCUGAUGGGAGGAUUGCAGAACAAGGCACCCACUUUGAGCUAUUGGCUAAGAAGGGCCAAUAUGCUUCACUGGUUGGCACUCAAAGGCUUGCAUUUGAGUAAAUCAUACAAAGGUGUUAAUGUUUCCAGUUACACCAAAUAGCAUUACAAGUGACAAGUAGCUGAAUCAUUUUCCACCUUGGUCAAGGUUCCAAACCCAACAAAUCAUCUUUGGUACUAGCAAGGCUAGUUUUUGCCUCAGUGAGUGUCAUCUGAUGACAAUUGGAGGUUGUAGAAGGGUAAUUAUUGGAUUGAGUAGUGUAUAAGACAGAGGGGAGAAAAAUAAAUGGUUUAACUAGCUAAUGGAUGAUUGGGACAUGUAUUGGUGUUUUGUUGUAGUUAGAAGUCCUCAUAUUAAUAAUGGAUAAUGGAUUGCAA